UUUUCUUCAUGCAGGCUGUAUGAGUAACAGCAAGGGGACGAGUGGCUAGGGUUGUAUAAACAGAAAAAAAAGUGAUUUAUCUCCUAAAUGGCAAAGAAUUGAGCAGUGAGACUGCAGGGACAUGAUGUAUAUACCAAAACUGCUUCAUUAAGCUUCUUUUUUUUUUAUGCCUAUAGUAACUAGGCAUGUACAUGGAGAAAAUUUUCGGUUCGGUUCGGCAUUCUGAAAUUCGGGACGUCGGCAAUUCGGGACUUCGGCAAUUAAGAACUUCGGCACUUUGGAAUUUUGGAACUUUGGCAUUUCGGGAACUCGGCACUUCGGGACUUCUCUUAGUAGAUAAAACCCCAAUUCCCACGGUAUUAGAG